rnacentral:rRNA from 1 species
UACGAAAGGGGCUAGCGUUGUUCGGAAUUACUGGGAGUAAAGCGCACGUAGGCGGCCUUGUAAGUUGGGGGUGAAAUCCCCGGGCUCAACCCGGGAACUGCCUUCAAGACUGCAAAGCUAGAGGAUGCGAGAGGUUGGCGGAAUUCCGAGUGUAGAGGUGAAAUUCGUAGAUAUUCGGAAGAACACCAGUGGCGAAGGCGGCCAACUGGCGCAUUUCUGACGCUGAGGUGCGAAAGCGUGGGGAGCAAACAGG